CAAAGUAGGUUCAUUGUUUCAUUUCAAGAUUCAGUUACUUUUAAUAAAUUCUGCGGAAGUAAUAAUUUGUCAACCAAGUAAGCUUUUCGGACAAAUAAACACGUCUCACUGAUAAAGUAGGGAUACAAGUUUCCACUUGAUUGGUGUUGAGCGCAUUGCUCCACCUAUUCCAUUCAAUCCGUAAACCCAUGUUUUGAAUAACAUCCAGUUUUUUUAACAGUGUUGCAUUCGCUUGCAUAUAAACAAGGAAUACCAACUUCAUGAAGAGAAAUAAUGAGCUGGUUUAAGUCAACAUUAUCAUAAGCACUCUCUAUAUCUAAAAAUGUACACACUGCAGUGGAUUUGGAUGACUGACAGCAUCUUAAAUCUGUUACAAAUGAUGCCAAACUUUCUGUUGCACUUCUUACUUUACGGAAACUAUAUUGAAAUUAUGGUGGACAGUAAACACAAAGGAUACACCAUACCAACGUUAGUUUCUAAUGAAAUUGAUAUGGACUGAACAUCUUGAUAAAAUGUUGUUGAUAAUAACUUGUAUUGUAUGUAUUUUUUAAUAAAAUACCUACACCAUCA